GUUGAACGCUGGCGGAAUGCUUUACACAUGCAAGUCGAACGGCAGCACGGACUUCGGUCUGGUGGCGAGUGGCGAACGGGUGAGUAAUGUAUCGGAACGUGCCCAGUCGUGGGGGAUAACGUAGUGAAAAUUACGCUAAUACCGCAUACGAUCUAUGGAUGAAAGCGGGGGAUCGCAAGACCUCGCGCGAUUGGAGCGGCCGAUAUCAGAUUAGGUAGUUGAUGGGGUAAAGGCCCACCAAGCCAACGAUCUGUAGCUGGUCUGAGAGGACGACCAGCCACACUGGAACUGAGACACGGUCCAGCCUCCUACGGGAGGCAGCAGUGGGGAAUUUUGGACAAUGGGCGAAAGCCUGAUCCAGCCAUUCCGCGUGCAGGAUGAAGGCCCUCGGGUUGUAAACUGCUUUUGUACAGAACGAAAAGGUUUCUACUAAUACUAGGAGCUCAUGACGGUACUGUAAGAAUAAGCACCGGCUAACUACGUGCCAGCCGCCGCCGUAA
rnacentral:rRNA from 1 species